rnacentral:rRNA from 1 species
UACGUAGGGGGCGAGCGUUGUCCGGAUUUAUUGGGCGUAAAGAGCUCGUAGGCGGUUCAACAAGUCGGUCGUAAAAGUUCAGGGCUCAACCCUGAAAUGUCGAUCGAUACUGUUGUGACUAGGAUACGGUAGAGGUGAAUGGAAUUCCGAGUGUAGCGGUGAAAUGCAUAGAUAUUACACAGAAUACCGAUUGCGAAAGCAGAUUGCUAACAAUAUACUGACGCUGAGGAGCGAAAGCUAGGGGAGCAAACAGG